GGUUGAUCCUGCCAGUAGUCAUAUGCUUGUCUUAAAGACUAAGCCAUGCAUGUCUAAGUAUAAAUAUUAUACAGUGAAACUGCGAAUGGCUCAUUAAAACAGUUAUAGUUUAUUCGAUAAUUUCUCCUACAUGGAUAACCGUAGUAAUUCUAGAGCUAAUACAUGCUGUCAAACCUGACUUCUUGGAAGGGUUGUAUUUAUUAGAUAUCUCAUUUGCAGCUGGCUGAUUGGUAUGGUUGAUGAGUAAGCAUUAUUACUAGUUGUUAUUUAAAUUAUUUUUUAAUAUUAGGUU
rnacentral:rRNA from 1 species